CAAAAUAGACCUGCAGAAAGAAAUUACUAAUAAAAUAUCUUACAUUUACAUAGUGUCAUAAUGUGUGGUUGAGGUGGUGAGGAUGAGGAUGUGGAGACCCAGGUAAGAUGAAGAAUGAUGAACAACAGAGAACAGCACGGAGGAACAACUGACGGCACAAGGAAACAGGUUUCACAGGGAGCAACGGGGAAGAUAGGGAUGUAGACACGACGGCACAGGGAAACAGCCUUUAGCGCCAUAACACGACAACAACAUUAGACGAGGAUCCGACUUUCAAGAACAACAGAUUUCUGGUGACGUCUCCAGUUUGGAUCUUUUGUUUGGGUUUCUCGUCGCCCUCCUCCCCCUCGCUGCUAUAUUUGCCCUCGGCCCACACACCCCUCCCUCCCGGUUGCCAUGGCAGCACCGUGGCUCAGCAUUAUCCGCGCAGCAGCAUCCAGUCGGCAGCGCUGGAGGACCUGCGCUCUCCAGAACCGGGCCAGCAGGUCCUGGAAGGGUCCAAACAAAGCUCAGCAGGGGCGUCCAGAGCCUUUCUUUGCUCUACAUCAAUAUUUUAUGUUGAAAUUAAAGAUUUUCAUUCAAGCUGAACUGAU